rnacentral:rRNA from 1 species
UACGAAGGGGGCUAGCGUUGUUCGGAAUCACUGGGCGUCAAGCGCACGCAGGCGGAUCGUUAAGUCAGGGGUGAAAUCCCGAGGCUCAACCUCGGAACUGCCUUUGAUACUGGCGAUCUUUGAGUCCGGGAGAGGUGAGUGGAACUCCGAGUGUAGAGGUGAAAUUCGUAGAUAUUCGGAAGAACACCAGUGGCGAAGGCGGCUCACUGGCCCGGUACUGACGCUCAUGUGCGAAAGCGUGGGGAGCAAACAGG